rnacentral:rRNA from 1 species
CCUACGGGAGGCAGCAGUGGGGAAUAUUGCGCAAUGGGCGAAAGCCUGACGCAGCAACGCCGCGUGCGGGAAGAAGGCUCUCGGGUCGUAAACCGCUUUAAGCAGGGACGCGGUACCUGCAGAAGAAGCCCCGGCUAACUACGUGCCAGCAGCCGCGGUAAUACGUAGGGGGCAAGCGUUGUCCGGAUUUAUUGGGCGUAAAGAGCGUGUAGGCGGCUUGGUAGUCUUGCGUCAAAACCUGAGGCUCAACCUCAGUUCGCGUGGGAAACAAUCUAGCUAGAGUCCGGAAGAGGAGAACGGAAUUCCCAGUGUAGCGGUGAAAUGCGCAGAUAUUGGGAAGAACACCAGUGGCGAAGGCGGUUCUCUGGGACGGACUGACGCUGAGACGCGAAAGCGUGGGGAGCGAACAGGAUUAGAUACCCUUGUAGUC